rnacentral:rRNA from 1 species
UUAGGAAUAUUCGUCAAUGGGGGAAACCCUGAACGAGCAAUGCCGCGUGAGUGAUGACGGUCUUAUAGAUUGUAAAGCUCUGUUGCAAGGGAAGAACUGCAGGAAUAGGAAAUGAUUUCUGCUUGACGGUACCUUGCCAGAAAGCUCCGGCUAACUACGUGCCAGCAGCCGCGGUAAUACGUAGGGAGCGAGCGUUAUCCGGAUUUAUUGGGCGUAAAGCGUGUGUAGGCGGCUUGUUAAGUCUAAGAUUAAAGCCCGAGGCUCAACCUCGGUUCGUCUUAGAAACUGGCUCGCUUGAGUAUGGUAGAGGCAAACGGAAUUUCUAGUGUAGCGGUAAAAUGCGUAGAUAUUAGAAGGAACACCAGUGGCGAAGGCGGUUUGCUGGGCCAUUACUGACGCUGAGACACGAAAGCGUGGGGAGCAAAUAGG